rnacentral:sRNA from 1 species
CUAAAACUAAUGUUUUUCUCAAGACCCCGCAACUCAGCCUGGACGAGUUUCCCUCCUCCACCCACCCCCGAAUCUUGAGAAUCCUGUACUGGGGGGAGGGCACUGCCCCCGCACCAUGUUCUUGGGAGAGCAGGGCUCCAGCGUGACAUGGCUGAAGCGCACCAGGCCGUGGGCUUCCGACCCUCGCUGACCUCGGACGGGGCUGAAGUGGAACUCAGUGCCCCUGUGCUGCAGGAGAUCUACCUCUCUGGCCUGCGCUCCUGGAAAAGGCAUCUCUCACGUUUCUGGAAUGACUUUCUCACCGGUGUGUCUCCUGCCAGCCCCCUCAGUUGGCUUUUCCUCUUCAGUGCCAUCCAGCUUGCCUGGUUCCUCCAGCUGGAUCCUUCCUUAGGACUGAUGGAGAAGAUCAAAGAGUUGCUGCCUGACUGGCCCUGGUCCGCAUCUUCUCUGGCCGCCACCCGAUGCUGUUCAGUUACCAGCGCUCCCUGCCACGCCAGCCCGUGCCCUCUGUGCAGGACACCGUGCGCAAGGUGGGCCUGGGAGCGCGCAGACGGGCUGGGGCGGCCGGGGCGGGCCGGGGGCGUGACCUGCCCUCUUCUCCCCUUUAGUACCUGGAGUCGGUCCGGCCCGUCCUCUCAGACGAGGACUUCGACUGGACCGCGGUCCUGGCGCAGGAAUUCCUGAGGCUGCAGGCGUCGCUGCUGCAGUGGUACCUGCGGCUCAAGUCCUGGUGGGCGUCCAAUUAUGUCAGUGACUGGUGGGAGGAAUUUGUGUACCUGCGCUCCCGAAAUCCGCUGAUGGUGAACAGCAAUUAUUACAUGAUGGACUUCCUGUAUGUCACACCCACACCUCUGCAGGCAGCUCGCGCUGGGAAUGCCGUCCAUGCCCUCCUCCUGUACCGCCACCGCCUGAACCGCCAGGAGAUACCCCCGGUGAGAGGGCCCCAGUGGGUUAGGGAUGGAGGUGUGGUCCUGUGGCCUUUGGGCCACGUGGGUCCUGGAAGGCAGCUCACAGCCCACGGUUUCCUGCAGACUUUGCUGAUGGGAAUGCGCCCCUUAUGCUCUGCCCAGUACGAGAAGAUCUUCAACACCACGCGGAUUCCAGGGGUCCAAAAAGACUACAUCCGCCACCUCCAUGACAGCCAACACGUGGCUGUCUUCCACCGGGGCCGAUUCUUCCGCAUGGGGACCCACUCCCGAAACAGCCUGCUUUCCCCGAGGGCCCUGGAGCAGCAGUUUCAGAGAAUCCUGGAUGAUCCCUCACCGGCCUGCCCCCACGAGGAACAUCUGGCAGCUCUGACAGCUGCUCCCAGGGGCACGUGGGCCCAGGUGCGGACAUCCCUGAAGACCCAGGCAGCGGAGGCCCUGGAGGCGGUGGAAGGGGCCGCUUUCUUUGUGUCACUGGAUGCUGAGCCCGCGGGGCUCACCAGGGAGGACCCGGCAGCAUCGUUGGAUGCCUACGCCCAUGCUCUGCUGGCCGGCCGGGGCCAUGACCGCUGGUUUGACAAAUCCUUCACCCUAAUCGUCUUCUCUAACGGGAAGCUGGGCCUCAGCGUGGAGCACUCCUGGGCCGACUGCCCCAUCUCAGGACACAUGUGGGAGUUCACUCUGGCUACAGAAUGCUUUCAGCUGGGCUACUCAACAGACGGCCACUGCAAGGGGCACCCGGACCCCACACUACCCCAGCCCCAGCGGCUGCAAUGGGACCUUCCAGACCAGAUCCACUCCUCCAUCUCUCUAGCCCUGAGGGGAGCCAAGAUCUUGUCUGAAAAUGUCGACUGCCAUGUCGUUCCAUUCUCCCUAUUUGGCAAGAGCUUCAUCCGACGCUGCCACCUCUCUUCAGACAGCUUCAUCCAGAUCGCCUUGCAACUGGCCCACUUCCGGGUCAGUUGGGUUCCCCAUCCACAGCCCCCUCAGGGUCUCAGUCCACCUGAGCCCCCAAGACCUGCCCCUCCACGGUUCCUUGUGGUCGCUGCCAUUGUGGGUUGGCCAUCUUGAAUUCUCUCUCCCAACCAUUCUUGGGCUGGCUGG